GCGGCAGGCCUAACACAUGCAAGUCGAACGGUAACAGGAAACAGCUUGCUGUUUCGCUGACGAGUGGCGGACGGGUGAGUAAUGUCUGGGAAACUGCCUGAUGGAGGGGGAUAACUACUGGAAACGGUAGCUAAUACCGCAUAACGUCGCAAGACCAAAGAGGGGGACCUUCGGGCCUCUUGCCAUCAGAUGUGCCCAGAUGGGAUUAGCUAGUAGGUGGGGUAACGGCUCACCUAGGCGACGAUCCCUAGCUGGUCUGAGAGGAUGACCAGCCACACUGGAACUGAGACACGGUCCAGACUCCUACGGGAGGCAGCAGUGGGGAAUAUUGCACAAUGGGCGCAAGCCUGAUGCAGCCAUGCCGCGUGUAUGAAGAAGGCCUUCGGGUUGUAAAGUACUUUCAGCGGGGAGGAAGGGAGUAAAGUUAAUACCUUUGCUCAUUGACGUUACCCGCAGAAGAAGCACCGGCUAACUCCGUGCCAGCAGCCGCGGUAAUACGGAGGGUGCAAGCGUUAAUCGGAAUUACUGGGCGUAAAGCGCACGCAGGCGGUUUGUUAAGUCAGAUGUGAAAUCCCCGGGCUCAACCUGGGAACUGCAUCUGAUACUGGCAAGCUUGAGUCUCGUAGAGGGGGGUAGAAUUCCAGGUGUAGCGGUGAAAUGCGUAGAGAUCUGGAGGAAUACCGGUGGCGAAGGCGGCCCCCUGGACGAAGACUGACGCUCAGGUGCGAAAGCGUGGGGAGCAAACAGGAUUAGAUACCCUGGUAGUCCACGCCGUAAACGAUGUCGACUUGGAGGUUGUGCCCUUGAGGCGUGGCUUCCGGAGCUAACGCGUUAAGUCGACCGCCUGGGGAGUACGGCCGCAAGGUUAAAACUCAAAUGAAUUGACGGGGGCCCGCACAAGCGGUGGAGCAUGUGGUUUAAUUCGAUGCAACGCGAAGAACCUUACCUGGUCUUGACAUCCACGGAAGUUUUCAGAGAUGAGAAUGUGCCUUCGGGAACCGUGAGACAGGUGCUGCAUGGCUGUCGUCAGCUCGUGUUGUGAAAUGUUGGGUUAAGUCCCGCAACGAGCGCAACCCUUAUCCUUUGUUGCCAGCGGUCCGGCCGGGAACUCAAAGGAGACUGCCAGUGAUAAACUGGAGGAAGGUGGGGAUGACGUCAAGUCAUCGUGGCCCUUACGACCAGGGCUACACACGUGCUACAAUGGCGCAUACAAAGAGAAGCGACCUCGCGAGAGCAAGCGGACCUCAUAAAGUGCGUCGUAGUCCGGAUUGGAGUCUGCAACUCGACUCCAUGAAGUCGGAAUCGCUAGUAAUCGUGGAUCAGAAUGCCACGGUGAAUACGUUCCCGGGCCUUGUACACACCGCCCGUCACACCAUGGGAGUGGGUUGCAAAAGAAGUAGGUAGCUUAACCUUCGGGAGGGCGCUUACCACUUUGUGAUUCAUGACUGGGGUGAAGUCGUAACAAGGUAACCGUAGGGGAACCUGCGGUUG
rnacentral:rRNA from 1 species